rnacentral:rRNA from 1 species
GUGGGGAAUCUUGCGCAAUGGGCGAAAGCCUGACGCAGCCAUGCCGCGUGAAUGAUGAAGGUCUUAGGAUUGUAAAAUUCUUUCACCGGGGACGAUAAUGACGGUACCCGGAGAAGAAGCCCCGGCUAACUUCGUGCCAGCAGCCGCGGUAAUACGAAGGGGGCUAGCGUUGCUCGGAAUUACUGGGCGUAAAGGGCGCGUAGGCGGACAGUUUAGUCAGAGGUGAAAGCCCAGGGCUCAACCUUGGAAUUGCCUUUGAUACUGGCUGUCUUGAGUACGGGAGAGGUGAGUGGAACUCCGAGUGUAGAGGUGAAAUUCGUAGAUAUUCGGAAGAACACCAGUGGCGAAGGCGACUCACUGGCCCGUUACUGACGCUGAGGCACGAAAGCGUGGGGAGCAAACAGGAUUAGAAACCCGAGUAGUCC